rnacentral:rRNA from 1 species
UACGUAGGGCGCAAGCGUUAUCCGGAAUUAUUGGGCGUAAAGAGCUCGUAGGCGGUGUGUCGCGUCGGCCGUGAAAACCUGCAGCUUAACUGUGGGCUUGCGGUCGAUACGGGCAUCACUGGAGUUCGGCAGGGGAGACUGGAAUUCCUGGUGUAGCGGUGAAAUGCGCAGAUAUCAGGAGGAACACCGGUGGCGAAGGCGGAUCUCUGGGCCGAUACUGACGCUGAGGAGCGAAAGCGUGGGGAGCGAACAGG